UACGAAGGGGCUAGCGUUGCUCGGAAUUACUGGGCGUAAAGGGCGCGUAGGCGGACAGUUUAGUCAGAGGUGAAAGCCCAGGGCUCAACCCUGGAACUGCCUUCAAUACUGUCAGUCUUGAGUCCGAGAGAGGUGAGUGGAAUUUCCAGUGUAGAGGUGAAAUUCGUAGAUAUUGGAAAGAACACCAGUGGCGAAGGCGGCUCACUGGCUCGGUACUGACGCUGAGGUGCGAAAGUGUGGGGAGCAAACAGG
rnacentral:rRNA from 1 species